UGAUUUGUAGCGCCCAUGUCUCAAUACCAAUUGGUAUCGACACCAUAAGAAGCAUCAGCUGUAGCUGCGGUUUUUUUUCUUUUAGGAAUUGUCAUCGGCAUAACGCCAAUCACAGUCUUUGGCAAGGUGGUUAGUUUUUUUACAAAUUUGGCACCUGCCUUCGUACCCCUGAAAGUUAUUGCACCCCCUGGUGUUGUUGUAGGAGGGGUGCCUAGGGUUGUAGCUGCCGCCAGAGUUACCCUGGGGAUGGCAGCCGCCGCCACCCCCAUUGUGAUGACCACCACCACUGUUGUGGUGAUAGCCGCCACCGGGACCACCCUUGGGCCGCCGCCACCAGAGUAGCCACCAUUAGGGUUGUUGUAGCUGCCACCAGAUCGUGAUCCGCCGCCACCGCCUCCCUUCUACUGGCCGCGAAAGCCCUUGGGAGUUCCUUGGCGGCCGCCGCGGGAAGCUGCGUUUCCUGAAGAUUUGAAGCUGGAGCACCUGUCCCGUGGAACAUCUCGACUCUCUGAUCGAAGUUGGCCACCAUGGAGAACAAGAUCUCGACGGUGAUCGGCUCGGUGCGGAUGUCCAAGGCAGAGAUGAUGGGUUGAUACUCCAUAUCAAGCCCAGCCACGAUGAAGGAAACGAGCUCAUCCUCCCGGAUUGGCUUGCCCGCCGCCGUGAGUUUGUCGGAGGGAGCACGCAUGGCGCCAAAGUAUGCUGCUGCCGACUGGUUGCCCUUCUGUGCGUUGGUGAGGGAGGCACGGAUGUUGUUGACGCGUGAGAGGGAGACGGCUGAGAACAUGGUGCUCAACAUCGUCCAGAUGGCAUGCGAGGUUUCCAUCGAUGCGACUUGAACGAGCACCUCUUUGGAGAGAUUGCGAAGGAGGUACACGACGAUUUGCUGAUCCUGGACGAGCCAUGGGGCAUAGGCAGGGCUCGGGAUCACCUGGUCCUUGCCCUCUUUAUCUUUUGUGGUGAUGGUUUUGGGAGGCUCCUCUAGGAUUUGAUCUAUAUAGCCAUACAAGCCAGCGCCCAUUAUCUGGGAUCCCGCUUGAGCUCACCAGAGAACAUAGUUCGUCCGGGAGAGUGGCUCGGAGGUGUUGUAGUUGAGGCCGGAGGUGAUGGGGGCGGCAGAGGUUGACAUGGCGGAAGGUGGGUGGAGGGAGAUCGAAGGAGGCUAGCUAGAUGUGAUGGAAGGGCCCGCUCUGUAUACCAUGUUGAAUUCAUGCUCCAGCCAACUCAUCCAAAAGUCCGAACUGAUGGAGGGAGACGGGCAAUAUAUUUCAACAAGACGCUUCCAUCACGUUUUACAUGGUAUUAGAGCCAAGAGGUCUUGAGUUCAAGACCGUGCCAAUGCAGUAUUAGAAACAAAUAUACUGCGGCCUACAUAAAACCCAUGUCUAAGGACUAAAUAAGCCUAGACGUGAGGGGGGUGUUGAAAUAUAUUGCCCGUCUCCCUCCAUCAGUUCAGACUUUUGGAUGAGUUGGCCGGAGCAUAAAUUCAAUAGUGCCACGUUUUCUGUGCAUGAUAAUGGCUUGUUUUUUCUCCCCCUAAUAAUAGGCAAGUUAUCUUGUUAUCAAUUGUCAUGCAUCUUGCUCUUACUGUCGCCUAUGCUUCCAGGUUGCAAUAAUAAAGUUCACAGGAUAUAAGUUGCUAAACAAUAUCUCAGACAGUGGGAAGGCUUUUCUUAUCAUUUUAGUGUCAGAUAUCCUUCUAGGGUACCAUUCAGAGGCAGGUUGGCAUUCAUUAGUGGAAAUUAUUCUUGACCACUAUGGACUGGAAACCGAUCAAGCUGCAGUCACCUUUUUCGUUUGUCUGGUUCCAGUUGCCCUGGACGUAUUUAUAAAGUUUUGGGUGUACAAAUACCUUCCAAGAUUAUCACCUAGUGUGGGAAACAUCUUGGAUGAAAUAAGGCGUCACUAGGAAUUCUUUCCAUCAGGAAUUUUAGUUCCUUCCUUUAGGAAAUUGCUAGUAGAAUUUCACAAUCCAGGUAUGUAUUGACUUGCAUGUACUGUUGGCUCCUACUUGUGUUGCUGCCAAUGUUUGAUAAAUAGUGAAAAAAUUACCUGUGACUGAUAUGGUUAUUCAUUCACCCUUCAAAUAUAUUUUUUGGUGAAAGCCCUUAAAUUA